rnacentral:lncRNA from 1 species
UCUUAGUUUUAUCGAUUCUUAUUCUCAUUGACUUGCAAACCAACCAAAGAAUUCGUUUAUUUUCCACAAGCAUCUCUUAAGCAUUUAAUAUAUUCAUGGAGAUAAUUUUCACACCCUAAAAUUAGUGAGAGGUGGUUUGAAUAUUAAAAUAGAGCUACGGAAAACAUUACUAAUUGUUGUGUUAAAACAGGUAAUCUUUACUCUU